AGCACUGUAGAGAGUUUGAUCAUGGCUCAGGAUGAAUGCUGGCGGCGUGCCUAACACAUGCAAGUCGAGCGGUAACAGGAGUAGUUUACUACUUGCUGACGAGCGGCGGACGGCUGAGUAACGCGUGGGAACGUGCCCCAAAGUGAGGAAUAACUGCCCGAAAGGGUGGCUAAUGCCGCAUAUGAUCUUCGGAUUAAAGGAUUUAUCCGCUUUGGGAGCGGCCCGCGUUAGAUUAGGUAGUUGGUAGGGUAAUGGCCUACCAAGCCUACGAUCUAUAGCUGGUCUGAGAGGAUGAUCAGCCAGACUGGAACUGAGACACGGUCCAGACUCCUACGGGAGGCAGCAGUGAGGAAUCUUCCACAAUGGGCGAAAGCCUGAUGGAGCAACGCCGCGUGCAGGAUGAAGGCCCUAGGGUCGUAAACUGCUUUUAUAAGUGAAGAAUAUGACGGUAACUUAUGAAUAAGCACCGGCUAACUACGUGCCAGCAGCCGCGGUAAUA
rnacentral:rRNA from 1 species